UACGAAGGGGGCUAGCGUUGUUCGGAAUUACUGGGCGUAAAGGGCGCGUAGGCGGUGUGUCAAGUCAGGCGUGAAAGCCCCGGGCUCAACCUGGGAACCGCGCUUGAGACUGGCACGCUAGAGUUCGGGAGAGGAUGGUGGAAUUCCCAGUGUAGAGGUGAAAUUCGUAGAUAUUCGGAAGAACACCAGUGGCGAAGGCGACUUACUGGACACAUAUUGACGCUGAGGUGCGAAAGCGUGGGGAGCAAACAGG
rnacentral:rRNA from 1 species